UCUACGGGAGGCAGCAGUGAGGAAUAUUGGUCAAUGGGCACGAGCCUGAACCAGCCAAGUAGCGUGAAGGAUGACUGCCCUACGGGUUGUAAACUUCUUUUAUAAAGGAAUAAAGUGCGGCACGUGUGCCUUUUUGUAUGUACUUUAUGAAUAAGGAUCGGCUAACUCCGUGACAGCAGCCGCGGUAAUACGGAGGAUCCGAGCGUUAUCCGGAUUUAUUGGGUUUAAAGGGAGCGUAGAUGGGUUGUUAAGUCAGUUGUGAAAGUUUGCGGCUCAACCGUAAAAUUGCAAUUGAUACUGGCAGCCUGGAGUGCAGUUGAGGUAGGCGGAAUUCGUGGUGUAGCGGUGAAAUGCUUAGAUAUCACGAAGAACUCCGAUUGCGAAGGCAGCCUACUAGACUGCAACUGACGUUGAUGCUCGAAAGUGUGGGUAUCAAACAGGAUUAGAUACCCGAGUAGUC
rnacentral:rRNA from 1 species